UACGUAGGAUCCGAGCGUUAUCCGGAGUGACUGGGCGUAAAGAGUUGCGUAGGCGGUUAGUAAAGCGAAUAGUGAAACCUGGUGGCUCAACCACACAGACUAUUAUUCGAACUCACUAACUCGAGAGUAGCAGAGGUAACUGGAAUUUCUAGUGUAGGAGUGAAAUCCGUAGAUAUUAGAAGGAACACCAAUGGCGUAGGCAGGUUACUGGGCUAUUUCUGACGCUGAGGCACGAAAGCGUGGGGAGCGAACCGG
rnacentral:misc_RNA from 1 species